rnacentral:rRNA from 1 species
GACGAACGCUGGCGGCGUGCCUAAUACAUGCAAGUAGAACGCUGAAGCGAGGAGCUUGCUCUUCUUGGAUGAGUUGCGAACGGGUGAGUAACGCGUAGGUAACCUGCCUUGUAGCGGGGGAUAACUAUUGGAAACGAUAGCUAAUACCGCAUAACAAUGGAUGACACAUGUCAUUUAUUUGAAAGGGGCAAUUGCUCCACUACAAGAUGGACCUGCGUUGUAUUAGCUAGUAGGUGAGGUAAUGGCUCACCUAGGCGACGAUACAUAGCCGACCUGAGAGGGGGAUCGGCCACACUGGGACGGAGACACGGCCCAGACUCCUACGGGAGGCAGCAGUAGGGAAUCUUCGGCAAUGGGGGCAACCCUGACCGAGCAACGCCGCGUGAGUGAAGAAGGUUUUCGGAUCGUAAAGCUCUGUUGUAAGUCAAGAACGGGUGUGAGAGUGGAAAGUUCACACUGUGACGGUAGCUUACCAGAAAGGGACGGCUAACUACGUG